AGCGAACGCCGGCGGCAGGCCUAACACAUGCAAGUCGAACGAACCCUUCGGGGUUAGUGGCGGACGGGUGAGUAACACGUGGGAACGUGCCUUUAGGUUCGGAAUAACUCAGGGAAACUUGUGCUAAUACCGAAUGUGCCCUUCGGGGGACAGAUUUAUCGCCUUUAGAGCGGCCCGCGUCUGAUUAGCUAGUUGGUGAGGUAAUGGCUCACCAAGGCUACGAUCAGUAGCUGGUCUGGGAGGAUGACCAGCCACGUUGGGACUGAGACACGGCCCAAACUCCUACGGGAGGCAGCAGUGGGGAAUCUUGCGCAAUGGGCGAAAGCCUGACGCAGCCAUGCCGCGUGGAUGAUGAAGGUCUUAGGAUUGUAAAAUCCUUUCACCGGUGAAGAUAAUGACUGUAGCCGGAGAAGAAGCCCCGGCUAACUUCGUGCCAGCAGCCGCGGUAAAAC
rnacentral:rRNA from 1 species